rnacentral:rRNA from 1 species
AUGCUAACUACAUGGCCUAUAUGUUCAAGUAUGACUCCACUAAUGGCCCCUUUAGAGGAUCCAUUAAGGUCGUGGAUGAUUCAAUACAGGAGAUUAAUGCAAAAAAAAAUCACAACCACAAGCAAAAGGUGGAGUAAGAGGAAAUGGGGCGUUGUUAGGCGGGACCUUGCCACUGUUGCCUUGGGUUUUGGCAUCGAAGCACCACCAUGUAUGGCUAGCCUUCCAUGGCUACAUCGAGGGUCCCAAUCUGCAGUUGAUAUAGAUGCCAUGAUUUAUAAAUAUGCAUGGCAUGUUGUCCUGAGAUAA